rnacentral:rRNA from 1 species
AUGGGAAACAUCAACUCUUGCUGGGCUGCGAACUCGCAAUCGCCGCCGGUAAGCGUGACCUCGUCGGUAUGCACGACGGAGGCCACCACCGCGGUGCACAAGUUCGUGGUGAAGAACUACUCGCUGCUCGACGGCAUGGGCGUCGACAAAUACGUCACGUCGAGCACGUUCAGAGUCGGGGGCUACGAUUGGUGCAUCGACUUCUGCCCCGGCGGCGACAGCCGGGCGCCUGGCUACGUGGCGGCCUUCUUGCGUCUCCGCGGGGACGAGGCAGCGACGGGCGUGAUGGUGAAGUACCGCUUAAGCAUGCGGGAGAAAGACGGCAAAGUACAUAUGGCCGGGCGAGUGUGGAGCAAAACCUUCGGGUCGGCGGGUACUAGAUGGGGCAACAUCCGGAUUGCAAACAAGUCCAAGCUGCGAGGAGACUGCUUCACCAUCACGUGUGAUUUGACCGUCGUAGGAAAUCCCACCGUGCAGGAGAUGUUGCCGAAUCAGGACUGCUGUUGUAACCGCCUCUAG